rnacentral:rRNA from 1 species
CCAAUUAGCUAGUUGGUGAGGUAACGGCCCACCAAGGCGACGAUUGGUAGCCGGACUGAGAGGUUGAACGGCCACAUUGGGACUGAGACACGGCCCAGACUCCUACGGGAGGCAGCAGUGGGGGAUAUUGCACAAUGGGGGAAACCCUGAUGCAGCGACGCCGCGUGGAGGAAGAAGGUUUUCGGAUUGUAAACUCCUGUCGUUAGGGACGAUAAUGACGGUACCUAACAAGAAAGCACCGGCUAACUACGUGCCAGCAGCCGCGGUAAAACGUAGGGUGCAAGCGUUGUCCGGAAUUACUGGGUGUAAAGGGAGCGCAGGCGGACCGGCAAGUUGGAAGUGAAAACUAUGGGCUCAACCCAUAAAUUGCUUUCAAAACUGCUGGCCUUGAGUAGUGCAGAGGUAGGUGGAAUUCCCGGUGUAGCGGUGGAAUGCGUAGAUAUCGGGAGGAACACCAGUGGCGAAGGCGACCUACUGGGCACCAACUGACGCUGAGGCUCGAAAGCAUGGGUAGCAAACAGGAUUAGAUACCCUGGUAGUCCAUGCCGUANACGAUGAUUACUAGGU